rnacentral:rRNA from 1 species
UGAGGAAUAUUGGUCAAUGGGCGAGAGCCUGAACCAGCCAAGUAGCGUGCAGGAUGACGGCCCUAUGGGUUGUAAACUGCUUUUAUAUGGGAAUAAAGUGAGGGACGUGUCCCUUAUUGCAUGUACCAUAUGAAUAAGGACCGGCUAAUUCCGUGCCAGCAGCCGCGGUAAUACGGAAGGUCCAGGCGUUAUCCGGAUUUAUUGGGUUUAAAGGGAGCGUAGGCUGUUUGUUAAGCGUGUUGUGAAAUGUAAGAGCUCAACUUUUAGAUUGCAGCGCGAACUGGCAGACUUGAGUGCGCACAACGUAGGCGGAAUUCAUGGUGUAGCGGUGAAAUGCUUAGCUAUCAUGAGGACCUCCUAUUGCGAAGGCAGCUCACGGGAGUGUCACUGACGCUUAAGCUCGAAGGUGCGGGUAUCAAACAGG